rnacentral:tRNA from 1 species
GAGGGCAGAGCUCAGUGGUAGAGCGUGUGCUUAGCAUGCAAGAGGUCCUGGGUUCAAUCCCCAGCACCUCCA